rnacentral:rRNA from 1 species
GACGAACGCUGGCGGCGUGCUUAACACAUGCAAGUCGAACGGAAAGGCCCUGCUUUUGUGGGGUGCUCGAGUGGCGAACGGGUGAGUAACACGUGAGUAACCUGCCCUUGACUUUGGGAUAACUUCAGGAAACUGGGGCUAAUACCGGAUAGGAGCUCCUGCUGCAUGGUGGGGGUUGGAAAGUUUCGGCGGUUGGGGAUGGACUCCCGGCUUAUCAGCUUGUUGGUGGGGUAGUGGCUUACCGAGGCUUUGACGGGUAGCCGGCCUGAGAGGGUGACCGGCCACAUUGGGACUGAGAUACGGCCCAGACUCCUACGGGAGGAAGCAGUGGGGAAUAUAGCACAAUGGGCGGAAGCCUAAUGCAGCAACGCCGCGUGCGGGAUAACGGCCUUCGGGUUGUAAACCGCUUUAGCCUGUGACGAAGCGUGAGUGACGGUAAUGGGUAAAGAAGCACCGGCUAACUACGUG